rnacentral:snoRNA from 1 species
GCCAGAGGCGGAGAAUAUACAAGUUUUUCUGCCCGAUAAUGAACAGGUCAUAUUUUGUCAAGAUAUCGUUUCAGUCGCUAUUUCUAUUGGCGAUUUGAUUGUUGCUUGACGAUAU